GACGAACGCUGGCGGCGUGCUUAACACAUGCAAGUCGAACGGAAAGGCCCUGCUUUUGUGGGGUUCUCGAGUGGCGAACGGGUGAGUAACACGUGAGUAACCUGCCCUUGACUUUGGGAUAACUUCAGGAAACUGGGGCUAAUACCGGAUAGGAGCUCCUGCUGCAUGGUGGGGGUUGGAAAGUUCGGGCGGUUGGGGCUGGACUCGCGGGUUAUCAGCUGGUUGGUGGGGUAGUGGCUUACCAAGGCUUCGACGGGUAGCCGGCCUGAGUGGGGGGACGGCCACAUUGGGACUGAGAUACGGCCCAGACUCCAACGGUGGGCAGAAGGCGGGAAUAUUGCACAAUGGGCGGAAGCCUGAUGCAGCAACGCCGGGUGCGGGAUGACGGCCUACGGGUUGUAAACCGCUUUCGCCUGUGACGAAGCGUGAGUGACGGUAAUGGGUAAAGAAGCACCGGCUAACUACGUG
rnacentral:rRNA from 1 species